GACGAACGCUGGCGGCGUGCUUAACACAUGCAAGUCGAACGAUGAAGCCUAGCUUGCUAGGUGGAUUAGUGGCGAACGGGUGAGUAAUACGUGAGUAACCUACCUUUAACUCUGGGAUAAGCCUGGGAAACUGGGUCUAAUACCGGAUACGACCAAUCUCCGCAUGGGGUGUUGGUGGAAAGCGUUAUGUAGUGGUUAUAGAUGGGCUCACGGCCUAUCAGCUUGUUGGUGAGGUAACGGCUCACCAAGGCGACGACGGGUAGCCGGCCUGAGAGGGUGACCGGCCACACUGGGACUGAGACACGGCCCAGACUCCUACGGGAGGCAGCAGUGGGGAAUAUUGCACAAUGGGCGCAAGCCUGAUGCAGCGACGCCGCGUGAGGGAUGACGGCCUUCGGGUUGUAAACCUCUGUUAGCAGGGAAGAAGAGAGAUUGACGGUACCUGCAGAGAAAGCGCCGGCUAACUACGUGCCAGCAGCCGCGGUAAUACGUAGGGCGCGAGCGUUGUCCGGAAUUAUUGGGCGUAAAGAGCUUGUAGGCGGUUUGUCGCGUCUGCUGUGAAGGCCGGGGCUUAACCCCGUGUAUUGCAGUGGGUACGGGCAGACUAGAGUGCAGUAGGGGAGACUGGAAUUCCUGGUGUAGCGGUGGAAUGCGCAGAUAUCAGGAGGAACACCGAUGGCGAAGGCAGGUCUCUGGGCUGUAACUGACGCUGAGAAGCGAAAGCAUGGGGAGCGAACAGGAUUAGAUACCCUGGUAGUCCAUGCCGUAAACGUUGGGCACUAGGUGUGGGGGACAUUCCACGUUUUCCGCGCCGUAGCUAACGCAUUAAGUGCCCCGCCUGGGGAGUACGGCCGCAAGGCUAAAACUCAAAGAAAUUGACGGGGGCCCGCACAAGCGGCGGAGCGUGCGGAUUAAUUCGAUGCAACGCGAAGAACCUUACCAAGGCUUGACAUAUACUGGACCGCAUCAGAGAUGGUGUUUCCCUUCGGGGCUGGUAUACAGGUGGUGCAUGGUUGUCGUCAGCUCGUGUCGUGAGAUGUUGGGUUAAGUCCCGCAACGAGCGCAACCCUCGUUCUAUGUUGCCAGCACGUUAUGGUGGGGACUCAUAGGAGACUGCCGGGGUCAACUCGGAGGAAGGUGGGGAUGACGUCAAAUCAUCAUGCCCCUUAUGUCUUGGGCUUCACGCAUGCUACAAUGGCCGGUACAGAGGGUUGCGAUACUGUGAGGUGGAGCUAAUCCCUAAAAGCCGGUCUCAGUUCGGAUUGGGGUCUGCAACUCGACCCCAUGAAGUCGGAGUCGCUAGUAAUCGCAGAUCAGCAACGCUGCGGUGAAUACGUUCCCGGGCCU
rnacentral:rRNA from 1 species